rnacentral:rRNA from 1 species
AUCGAACGCUGGCGGCAGGCCUAACACAUGCAAGUCGAGCGGAUGAAGGGAGCUUGCUCCUGGAUUCAGCGGCGGACGGGUGAGUAAUGCCUAGGAAUCUGCCUGGUAGUGGGGGAUAACGUCCGGAAACGGGCGCUAAUACCGCAUACGUCCUGAGGGAGAAAGUGGGGGAUCUUCGGACCUCACGCUAUCAGAUGAGCCUAGGUCGGAUUAGCUAGUUGGUGGGGUAAAGGCCUACCAAGGCGACGAUCCGUAACUGGUCUGAGAGGAUGAUCAGUCACACUGGGACUGAGACACGGUCCAGACUCCUACGGGAGGCAGCAGUGGGGAAUAUUGGACAAUGGGCGAAAGCCUGAUCCAGCCAUGCCGCGUGUGUGAAGAAGGUCUUCGGAUUGUAAAGCACUUUAAGUUGGGAGGAAGGGCAGUAAGUUAAUACCUUGCUGUUUUGACGUUACCAACAGAAUAAGCACCGGCUAACUUCGUG